GUGGGGAAUAUUCCGCAAUGGACGAAAGUCUGACGGAGCAACGCCGCGUGAGUGAUGAAGGUUUUCGGACUGUAAAGCUCUGUUGUUUGGGACGAAAGUGCCUGUUGCGAACAGUUACGGGUAUUGACGGUACUAAACGAGGAAGCCACGGCUAACUACGUGCCAGCAGCCGCGGUAAUACGUAGGUGGCAAGCGUUGUCCGGAAUUAUUGGGCGUAAAGGGCAUGUAGGCGGGAAUCUAAGUCUGUUGUUAAAAUGCGGGGCUCAACCCCGUAUUGCGAUGGAAACUGGGUUUCUUGAGUGCAGGAGAGGAAAGGGGAAUUCCCAGUGUAGCGGUGAAAUGCGUAGAUAUUGGGAGGAACACCAGUGGCGAAGGCGCCUUUCUGGACUGUGUCUGACGCUGAGAUGCGAAAGCCAGGGUAGCGAACGGGAUUAGAAACCCGUGUAGUCC
rnacentral:rRNA from 1 species